AGCUUUGCGCAGUGGCAGUAUCAUAGCCAAUGAGGUUUAUCCGAGGUACAAUUAUUGCUAAUUAAAAAACUAAGACAU
rnacentral:snRNA from 1 species